UAGGGAAUCUUGGACAAUGGGCGAAAGCCUGAUCCAGCCAUGCCGCGUGAGUGAUGAAGGCCUUAGGGAUGUAAAGCUCUUUCGCCAGGGAAGAUAAUGACGGUACCUGGAUAAGAAGCCCCGGCUAACUUCGUGCCAGCAGCCGCGGUAAUACGAAGGGGGCUAGCGUUGUUCGGAAUUACUGGGCGUAAAGCGCACGUAGGCGGCUUUCCAAGUUGGAGGUGAAAUCCCCGGGCUUAACCCGGGAACUGCCUCCAAAACUGAAAGGCUAGAGUCCGAGAGAGGUGAGUGGAAUUUCCAGUGUAGAGGUGAAAUUCGUAGAUAUUCGCAAGAACACCAGUGGCGAAGGCGGCUCACUGGCCCGAUACUGACGCUGAGGCACGAAAGCGUGGGGAGCAAACA
rnacentral:rRNA from 1 species